rnacentral:lncRNA from 1 species
GACGCACUGCCCGGCAGCAAAUUCCAACAUCGGGCGGUCCAGGGCGAGGAGUAGGCACCUGGCGUUGGCGCUGGGCGGAUUUGCAAUUUGAGGGAAACCGCUGGGCGGUAGUGCGAUUUGUGGGAAAUCGUCGGGUGCCACACUUGUUCCGUCGGGCGGUUCUCUACUGGGCUUGGGCCUGUUUUAUGUUGCGCUCCUCACCUAUAAAUAGCCCUAUUGCGAGUUUAGAUGCAUUCUUUUGACAGAAGGGGGCGGC